rnacentral:rRNA from 1 species
CUAAGGGCGUACGGUGGAUGCCUAGACUGAAAGAAGCGAUGAAGGGCGUGGCGUGUCUGCGAUAAGCUUCGGGGAGGUGACUAGCAACCUUUGAUCCGGAGAUUUCCGAAUGGGGAAACCCUCUGCCUUUGGCAGAACUUAUUUAUUUAUUAAAUGAGAGCGUACCCGCUGAAGUGAAACAUCUCAGUAAGCGGAGGAAAAGAGAACAACAUAAUAGUACUCACAUUGCAUUACAUAUAGUUUGCGAUGCAGUGCGAGUACUUGUGAUUUCCUAAGUAGCGGCGAGCGAAAAGGAAGAAGCCCAAACCUCACACUUCGGUGUGGGGGGUUGUAAGGUAACAGUUUCAUCUUUAUGAUGAGAAGAGUCAAAAAAUAUUUUGUUAAUUGAAUUUGCUGGGAAGCAAAACCCAAGAGCGUUAAAGUCGCGUAAGUGAAAACAAAGUAUCUCUUUUAUUGUUAUUCUUGAGUAGCCCAAGACACGAAUAGCUUGGGUGAAUCUGCCGGAACUAACCGGUAAGGCUAAAUAUUCUUUCAGAUCGAUAGUGAACUAGUACCGUGAGGGAAAGGUGAAAAAUACCCCGGUGAGGGGAGUGAAAUAGAUCUGAAACCGUAUGUCUACAAGGAGUCGGAGUGGUGCUUGCACCACGACGGCGUGCCUAUUGAAGAAUGAGCCAACGAGUUCAUAUAUACUGCGUGGCUAACUGCGUAAAAUGCAGGAAGUCGUAGGGAAACCGAGUGUGAAUAGCGCGACAUUUUGUAGUAUGUAUGAGACCCGAAGCCAGAUGAGCUUGCCAUGGACAGGGUGAACGCUUGCGAAAGUGAGCAGGAGGCCCGAACCGGUUGGUCGUACAAUUCCAUCGGAUGAUCUGUGGUAAGAAGUGAAAAGCUAAUCGAAUCUGGUAAUAGCUGGUUCUCUCCGAAAUAGCUUUAGGGUUAGCGUUCGGUUUACCUUUUGGGGGUAGAGCACUGGAAGGCGUAAAUAGGGAGAAAUCUCGUUAUGCCUAUCAAACUCCGAAUACCAAGAGUCAAAUACCGAGCAGUUAGACUGUGGGGGCUAAGCUCCACUGGUCGAAAGGGAAACAGCCCAGAUCUCAAGUUAAGGUCCCUAAAUUUACAUUAAGUGCACUUAAGGAUGUGAGAUUUCUCUGACAAUGAGGAUGUUGGCUUAGAAGCAGCCACCAUUUAAAGAAAGCGUAACAGCUCACUCAUUCAGAGGUUUUGCGCCGCAGAUUAUCGGGGCUAAAUGUAAUACCGAAACUGAGGGCUUCUUAUUCAUUCGUGAGUAAGGAGCGGUAGGAGAGCAUUCCAUUCUGCAAUGAAGGUUAGACGUAAGUCUAACUGAAGCGUAUGGAAGAGAGAAUGUUGGCACAAGUAACCGCAAUCUCGUUGAGAAUACGGGACGCCGAAAAACCAAGGUUUCCUUGGCGAUGUUAAUCAGCCAAGGGUUAGUCGGGCCUAAGCGGAUGGUGAAAACCGUACGCGAUGGACACAUGGUUAAUAUUCCAUGACUUUCUUUUUAUGCGAUGGGGGGACGGAGUGUAGUAUGUCGAGCGUAUUAUUUGGAUUUACGUUUGUGGUGUGAGGAUGCUCUUUUGGAAAAUCCGGAGAGUAAAUUUUAGCACAGUAAAAAUUUUGCGGCCUCGGCCAAUGAAAAUUUGACAAAGCACACUUCCAAGAAAAGCCUCUAAGCUUCAGUAAAAAGAAAACCGUACCGCAAACCGACACAGGUGGUUAGGUCGAGAAGACCUAGGCGAACGAGUGAGUGUUCCUCAAGGAACUCGGCAAACAAGCGACCGUAACUUCGGAAUAAGGUCUGCCCCUGCUUUUUGCAGGGGCCGCAGCGAAAGUUUUCCGGGCAACUGUUUAUCAAAAACACAGCUCCCUGCGAACUCGCAAGAGGAUGUAUAGGGGGUGACGCCUGACCAAUGCCAGAAGGUUAAGCACGAAGGGUACGCAUCAUAUUGCACAUGAUUUAGUCGUGUUCAGUAUGAUGCGUGCUGGGUUGUGUAAGCCCUGGUGAAUGUCGGCCGUAACUAUAAGUCGUUGUAGUUACGCCAAAAAAUCUUGCUAUAUGCGGGAAACUCUGACCAAAAACAUUCUUAGGAUGUUUUUAAAGUAUCUGAUAGUACUCAUCAAAAUCGAAUUGAUAGUAACAAUCUAUUCAGUGCAGACAAUCCGCAGGAAAGAUUCUGUUUUUAACACAUUAUAUUAUGGAUGAUCAUAAAAAAUGGUUAAAUGAUUUCGACCAAAGCCUCGGAAACUACAUUGCUGGUUUCGUAGAUGGUGAAGGUAGCUUUAACGUAUCGUUAAAGAAGAGAAAAGAUUAUAAAAAUGACUGGAAAUUACAUCCGUCAUUUAAUAUUUCUCAAAAAGAUCGUGUUAUUUUAGCUCUUUUUAAAAAAGAACUAGGAUGUGGAACUUUAAGAGAAAGAAAAGAUGGUGUUGUUUACUACGAAGUAGUAAACAUAGAAAUGUUACAAAAAAGGAUAAUUCCUUUUUUUAAGAGAUUUCAUUUUUUAUCUGCUAAUAAAAAGAGAAAUUUUUCUAUUUUUCUGCAAAUAAUCGAUCUUAUUUAUAAGAAAGAGCAUUUACAAAAAAGCGGUUUUAGGAAAAUCUUAGAACUAAGAGAAAGGUUAAAUCUUGGAGCGGGUAGAACAAGAAAAUAUAACAUUGGAGACAUUAUUAAAAAAUAAAACAGAAAAUCCUCACAGACUAUACGCAAGACAUCUUAUAAUUCGAAUAAUUGCCGACUGAAUUGUAAGUAAAGAUAUAGUCGAGUCCUUAUGGCAACAUAAGGUCAGUACACUAGUUGAAAUGUGUAUUGAGUAAAAUAUCAACAAACGGUCCUAAGGUAGCGAAUUUCCUUGUCUGGUAAGAAGUUGCCAGUUACGACAGUGAUGUCGUGAGCAAAACCGGCUAAUAACGGUGAAGUCCUCGUUGGAGUGCUAUUAACAAGAAUAGCGCCAUGAAGAC